rnacentral:piRNA from 1 species
UGAGCCAAAGCUCAGCCAUUUGUAACCCC